rnacentral:lncRNA from 1 species
AAUGAUGCCUCCCUCGUAUGAUUCAAGUCUGAAGCCGUCAGCUGCCAGCAGCACCCCUUCACUGAUUGGUCCUGCCCCUCAGUUCAUAUGAGGGUGAAGGGAGAAAUAAAGCACGGGAAAAGCACAUAGCACAGUGACUGAGAUGCAAGAGGUGAUCAGUAAAAAGUUCUCUACCUUGGCAAAUGGCACCACCAUCCAUCUGACUGGACCAAGCACAAGCUUGAGAGCCACGCUUGACACCUCCUUUCCCUUCAGCACCUCCCUACCACCACAUUCAAUCUGUCCAGGAAUAGCAGGAGAUAGAAGGAACACAGGGGAGGCAGGAGAGCAAGGCUGUUGCCCUCAUCCGCUACCUCCUGGCUGACUGAGGGCGGAUGUGUUAGAUAAAUCUGAGAACUCAAAGAAGCGCAGAGGUUCUAUUCUGCAACCCAGUAAAGAUGAAGAGGAGGAAGCUAAUUCCCAGGUGCCUACACUGAGCUGACAGACAGAUGCCUCUCCCUGGUAGCUCCAGCACAGUAAAGCAGAGGCAGACUCCAAGGCUCCCUUUGCUGAGUUGCCUUUGCUUCCAGUGAAGGAGAACCCAAGAGUCCAGCAAAGGAGUUCUUGACAUGACAAGGGUGGAGGAUCUGAGCACCCAGGGCCACUGAAUGGAGCAGCCAAGCCAAAGCCAAAUGGGAAUCUCAUCAGAGUUGUCUGAUGCCAGAGAGAGCCAAGGUCGGGAUGAGUCAGCCAGAGGGUGCUCCCAGGCUCUGAUCCAGCUGAGAGGGGCCAGAUCAUGUGUUACACUUCUUCAGAGGCCAGAGGAAGCACAGGGCACAGGCACAAAGACCCUAAAUCUUCCCCAUGGCCCUCGUGAGGUUGCAGAAACCACCACCACCCCUCACACGUAUAUCUGGACACACCAGAUGAGAAUAUACCAGAAGGAAGAAGAAUAUUAUCUGAAAGAUUGAGCCAUUUGUCCAAAAGAGAUUAAUCUAAAUAUACUUUAAUAUUGGUUUUAAUAUUGAUUUAAGCCUUAAUUUGAACACAAAAUUUCUCUUUGCUAACCAGCUGGGUGAGGACUUUAAAGGAAGGUUAUAUUAGGUGGAGAAAAAGUAAAGUAUGUUUUCUCUGCAUAUCCAAAUCAUAGUACAAAGUAAAUACUGUGCAUCUGACACACAGGAAUAAAAGGACCAUGAAAUCACUUGUCAAAAAUCUUAGCAGUUUAGAAAAACCAGGCAGAAAGUUGCUGCAGGGUCGGAUGGGUCACUUUCUUAAAGUUCCCACAGAUAGGGCUGACUGCAGCUUUCACAACUGUAGAAAACACAGGAGGAAAUUCAAAGAGCGAACCACGAUGGUGGAUUCCUAACUCUUGGUCAGACCCGCCCUCUAAGUGGUAGCUCAGCUAGUCUGCCCAUGGUGGGCACCAGGCAACUUCCAUGGAGAGGGGAUAUGCCCACUCACGUCCCCUCCUGGUCAAUACUUAUAGGCAUGUCAGCAAAAAGACUUGUUUAAAAAUAAAGAGUCCACAAUAUAUGAUGACCCAUACACAUGUUUCAAACUGUGAAGCAUAAAUAUACUUAUUGUAGGGAAAAAAUAGUACACAAUGAAAACAACCACAUGGGCCUGGGGUUCACUACCUGCCCCUUUCCACUAGGACAAGACAAAAGGCCUUUGACAUUCUCUUCCCUGAAUCUGUUCUGCAAUCUCUUCUUCAGUUAUCCUUGUGAUUCAUCCAUGGAUCUCCUGCAUGCUGUGCUGGGUCACGUGCCACCAGGAUCCUUCACAGGGCACAUCCUGUCAUUGUAUCAGGUCUGAAGCAGUAAUAGUCAGUGAGCUCUCUCGGUCCUUCCUCCUGCAAAGUCUUCAUCUUCCUAACUCUGACCUUUACUGUUCUUGUUUCUAAUUGCACAACAAAUGUAAUGUGUAGGCUGUAUUUCUCCUCCAGUGAAAAUCCACUUGGUCCAGUGCCUGCUGCUAGUAAACCUAGCUAGUAAGGUUAGAAAACCUCUGCUCUUCAUCAUGCUGAAAGAGAUGGCCUUUAUAGCCCUCUUUAACUGCUGAUGGGAAUAGGACAACUUCUAGGCUGGCUGCCUUGGCUCCCCCAUCCCCGUUAUUCAUAAGGUUUUACUCUAAAUCGUUCCUGCACCCCACUGUUAAGUGUCCUGCCAGAUGCAUCAAGGGGAUUUACAAUCACCCAUUUGUGCACUCCAUGGACUUUCCUGCUUAGUUCUGUAAUUCCCUCUGCUUACGUAGAUGAAACCCAUUGUUACACUUGUGCGCUUACCCAUGUGCUUAGUGCUAGCAAUUCUGAGCACUCGAUAUUGUCAUGAGAAAAUACUACAAGAUUGCAACCCAGCUCUCUGCACAGGCAGGCCUAUCCUCCCCGCAGUAGCAUAUGAGCUCCAUGAAAGCUACAAUCUAGAAUGCUACAUCCCAGUGUCUUGAACUGUGCCUGACAUGUAGUAGGCACCCAAUAGACAUGGGUGGAACAGAUGAUUGAGUUGAUGAGCAGAAAAAAACAAGAGGCAUGUUGCAUCUUCUGUGCACAAAAUCCCACCAGCAAAGGAACCUAUGUACAAGCUUCUUUUUUUGUUAAAGGCCUCCCCUUACACCUCGCCAACCCCACACCCUUUUUCAAUACACAAUCUCCUGGAAAAAAAAAAAUCCCUGUGUGAUCUUUAAAUAUUACCCUUGUGCUGGCACCUUCUUUGCCAAAGGCAGGAAAAACUCGUCUAUCAAGUUUCCCUUCAUUUGAGCAGAGGCAACUAUCUACAGCUUUGGAACUAUGGCUCUCUCACCAGCAGCUGAGCACUUUGAUCUUCAUGCCAUUCCCCGAAAUAAAGAGGCAGAAGCCAAACCGUAGCCUGGUCUCAGCUCUCCUAGCCUCAAGCUGCAUGAGGCAGAACCAUCCAAAGGGCCAGGCAUCCAUGGACAUCUGGCAGAGAGGGCGCAACCCCCUCUGGGCUCCAGCAGCUCUCAGCGGUGCUCCUUUGAGGUUCUUUGUCCCCAGGGAGUCUAGUAUGUGUGGCCAAGAGUUUCACUGGCUCUUUGACUGUAGCAAGCAUCUUAACUUAGUUAAACCUCAGUUUUCUUAUCUAUAAAAUUAGAAUAACAAUAGUAUCUGCCUCACAGGAUCAUUAUGAGAAAUAAAUAAGACAGUAUACACAAAGUGCUUGGCACAAAGUAAGAGCUCAAUAAAUGAUAGCUAUUAUUAUUCCUGCUUGGUAUGAUUUGUUCAUGCACUUUUGUUGUAAACAAAUAAACAAAUGCAACCUGCAAUCUGAAAUAAAUAGAAAAAGCUCACCUAUCAUUAUUAAUUCAUUCAACAAAGACUGU